rnacentral:rRNA from 1 species
UACGAAGGGGGCUAGCGUUGUUCGGAGUUACUGGGCGUAAAGGGCGCGUAGGCGGCGCAUCAAGUCAGGCGUGAAAGCCCUGGGCUCAACCCGGGAAUUGCCUUUGAGACUGAGUGGCUUGAGUACGAGAGAGGUGAGUGGAAUUCCCAGUGUAGAGGUGAAAUUCGUAGAUAUUGGGAAGAACACCGGUGGCGAAGGCGGCUCACUGGCUCGUAACUGACGCUCAUGCACGACAGCGUGGGGAUCAAACAGG